rnacentral:rRNA from 1 species
GUUACUGAUAAUAACUGGAUAAGUUAGUAUAUCGCAUGAUAUGCAAAAUGAAAGACUACGGCACUAAAGGAGAGCUUUGCGUCCUAUUAGCUAGUUGGUAAGGUAAGAGCUUACCAAGGCGAUGAUAGGUAGCCGGCCUGAGAGGGUGGACGGCCACAAGGGGACUGAGAUACGGCCCUUACUCCUACGGGAGGCAGCAGGC